GAGGAUGAGAACCUCCGGGGGCAAGAGGUUCGACCCGAGCGAAGCGAGAGAACGUUGCGUCAGCAACGGCCCGCAGGGCGAGCCACGCAGUGGCGAGUCAUCCUC
rnacentral:sRNA from 4 species